rnacentral:rRNA from 1 species
AAGCAACAAGGAGUGGAGAAAGAACCUAUGAAUAGAUAUUCAGAAUUGGAUCUUCUCAGCUCUCAUUAUCUCCAAAACAGAUUGGAAGCAUUGCUAUGCUCUGAUCAUCUUAUGACAGAUGAAUUGUGGAAAUGGUUGGAAGAGGUCUGGGAGGUUUACACCCGACCAGAAGUCCUUGGUUGUGGAACCUGGGGCCUCCGUUGCCGUGUUUUUCGUGGAGCCUGGAACCUCAGCCGUCGUGCCUAUUGUGGUGGUUGUUGUGGUCGUGCCCAUGGUUUCGGACACCGUGGUCAUGGUCGUGCCCGUGGUUUCAGACGCCAGUGA